rnacentral:rRNA from 1 species
UUAAUUGAAGAGUUUGAUCAUGGCUCAGAUUGAACGCUGGCGGCAGGCCUAACACAUGCAAGUCGAGCGGCAGCACAGAGGAACUUGUUCCUUGGGUGGCGAGCGGCGGACGGGUGAGUAAUGCCUGGGAAAUUGCCCGGUAGAGGGGGGAUAACCAUUGGAAACGAUGGCUAAUACCGCAUAACCUCGCAAGAGCAAAGCAGGGGACCUUCGGGCCUUGCGCUACCGGAUAUGCCCAGGUGGGAUUAGCUAGUU